GAUGAAGAACGUAGCGAAAUGCGAUAAGUAAUGUGAAUUGCAGAAUUCAGUGAAUCAUCGAAUCUUUGAACGCACCUUGCACCCUUUGGCUAUUCCGAAGGGUAUGCCUGUUUGAGUAUCAUGAACACCUCAACUCUCAUGGUUUGCCAUGAUGAGCUUGGACUUUGGGGGUCUUGCUGGCCCGUGGUCAGCUCCUCUCAAAUGGAUUAGCUUGCCAGUGUUUGGUGGCAUCACAGGUGUGAUAACUAUCUACGCUUGUGGUUUUCCACCAGGUAACCUUCAGCAAUGGGGGUUCGCUGGGGCUGAUAAAUGUCUCUCCUCAGCGAGGACAGCUCUUUGAACGUUUGAUCUCAAAUCAGGUAGGACUACCCGCUGAACUUAAGCAUAUCAAUAAGCGGAGGA
rnacentral:misc_RNA from 1 species